CGAGCGCAACCCUUAUCAUUAGUUGCUACGCAAGGGCGACUCUAAUGAGACUGCCGGUGGACAAACCGGAGGAAGUGGGGAUGACGUCAAGUCCUCAUGGCCCUUAUGGGUAGGGCUUCACACGUCAUACAAUGGUCGGUACAGAGGGUUGCCAAGCCGCGAGGCGGAGCCAAUCCCACAAAGCCGAUCGUAGUCCGGAUUGUUCUCUGCAACUCGAGAGCAUGAAGUCGGAAUCGCUAGUAAUCGCAGGUCAGCAUACUGCGGUGAAUACGUUCCCGGGUCUU
rnacentral:rRNA from 1 species